GCAAACCCCCGUGCGCAAUGAAAGUGACAGAGGUUGGACUGGUGUUAGAAGCCAGGCACAAUCCGCCGGCCACAAUCCCUCGGGAGCAAGGUCUGAGUGUGAGCAUGUGUGAUAAGACCCGAAAGGUGGCGAACUAUGCCUGAAUAGGAUGAAGCCAGGGGAAACUCUGGUGGAGGUUCGUAGCGAUUCUGACGUGCAAAUCGAUCGUCAAAUUUGGGUGUAGGGGCGAAAGACUAAUCGAGCCACCUAGUAGCUGGUUCCCUCCGAAAUUUCCCUUAGGAUAGCUGCAAUCGAUAUUUCUCAGUUUUAUCAGGUAAAGCGAAUGAUUAGAGGAAUCGGGGACGUUUUGUCCUCGACCUAUUCUCAAACUUUAAAUGGGCAAGGUGGUGGGUGCUUAAUUGACCCGCCGCGUUGAAUGUGAGCUCCAAGUGGGCCAUUUUUGGUAAGCAGAACUGGCGAUGCGGGAUGAACCGAACGCGAGGUUAAGGUGCCGGAAUACACGCUCAUCAGACACCACAAAAGGUGUUAGUUCAUCUAGACAGCAGGACGGUGGCCAUGGAAGUCGG
rnacentral:rRNA from 1 species